ensembl:processed_transcript
UUCUGCGUCUCCCGCUGCUGAGCUGGCUGAUGGAGUGUGUGUCGCUGUGGCUAGCGUAGGGCGGUGACUAGCGGCGGUCUGGGGCUGCUCACCUUCGGUCAGGUUCAGAAACCCAAGAAAUGGAGCGCAGUUCCUGCUGAACGCCGGCAGCAGUGGAGGGGCCCGGAAGCGCUAUCCGAACAGCGUGAGCCUCUGGCAGAGAAAAGAAGGCUCUAAAAGUGUACUCCUACUCCGGCGGGGUCUGGGUCUUGGGUGAUACCGACCGAGGCGGAAAAGAUGUGGGCGCGGCUCCCGUCUUUGAGGCUCCGAGGAGCCCUGAGACCUUGGUUCUGGCGGCUCCCGGAGGCAGUCGAGUGAUUGCCCUUCAAAGAGCAUCCGCCGGGUGGUUUGUGUGGUUGUGUACUUUUAGCUGACUGUACCGCCACAUCACGUAGGAGUCGUCUCCAUUUUAUUGAUUGGGAAUGUAAGGCUCAAGGAACUUGGGUUUACUGGCCAAGAUGGCAUAGUAAGUAGUGUUGUUAAGAUCUGGGCUGCUGGGGGGAUGGAUACGCCCUGGGAGCCCAGUGCUCUUAUCUGCACCGCCAAAAUAGCUCUUUAAUAAAUUAGUUGAAUUUCAAAAAAAAAAAAAAAAAUGCCACGCCCUAGGGAUUGCCAG